AUUGAACGCUGGCGGCAGGCUUAACACAUGCAAGUCGAACGAGUGGCGGACGGGUGAGUAAUGCUGGGGAAUCUAGCUGAUGGAGGGGGAUAACUACGGGAAACUGUAGCUAAUACCGCGUAACAUAGGAUGAGCCCAAGGGGGAUUAGGUAGGUGGUGAGGUAAAGGCGCACCAAGCCGACGAUCUCUAGCUGGUCUGGUAGGAUGACCAUCCUCACUGGUACUGAGACACGGCCCAGACUCCUACGGGAGUCAGCAGUGGGGAAUAUUGCACAAUGGGCGCAAGCCUGAUGCAGCCAUGCCGCGUGUAUGAAGAUGGCCUUAGGGUUGUAAAGUACUUUCAGCGGGGAGGCGUUACCCGCAGAAGAAGCACCGGCUAACUCCGUGCCAGCAGCCGCGGUAAUUC
rnacentral:rRNA from 1 species